GGAUGGUUCAAUGGUAGUGGGUUAUCCGAAAAGCUAUUAAUGUUAGUGCCACUAAAGUUGGUAAACAACCCUUCCCCCUGCUGAAUUUGACUGGAAA
rnacentral:Y_RNA from 1 species